rnacentral:rRNA from 1 species
AGUGAACGCUGGCGGUAGGCCUAACACAUGCAAGUCGAACGGCAGCACAGUAAGAGCUUGCUCUUACGGGUGGCGAGUGGCGGACGGGUGAGGAAUACAUCGGAAUCUACUUUUUCGCGGGGGAUAACGUAGGGAAACUUACGCUAAUACCGCAUACGACCUACGGGUGAAAGCAGGGGAUCUUCGGACCUUGCGCGAUUGAAUGAGCCGAUGUCGGAUUAGCUAGUUGGCGGGGUAAAGGCCCACCAAGGCGACGAUCCGUAGCUGGUCUGAGAAGAUGAUCAGCCACACUGGAACUGAGACACGGUCCAGACUCCUACGGGAGGCAGCAGUGGGGAAUAUUGGACAAUGGGCGCAAGCCUGAUCCAGCCAUACCGCGUGGGUGAAGAAGGCCUUCGGGUUGUAAAGCCCUUUUGUUGGGAAAGAAAAGCAGCAGGUUAAUACCCCGCUGUUCUGACGGUACCCAAAGAAUAAGCACCGGCUAACUUCGUG